AUGGGGAUGCGUCUGAUUAGCUUGUUGGCGGGGUAACGGCCCACCAAGGCAACGAUCAGUAGGGGUUCUGAGAGGAAGGUCCCCCACAUUGGAACUGAGACACGGUCCAAACUCCUACGGGAGGCAGCAGUGACGAAUAUUGGUCAAUGGACGAGAGUCUGAACCAGCCAAGUAGCGUGCAGGAUGACGGCCCUAUGGGUUGUAAACUGCUUUUAUAAGGGAAUAAAGUGAGUCUCGUGAGACUUUUUGCAUGUACCUUAUGAAUAAGGACCGGCUAAUUCCGUGCCAGCAGCCGCGGUAAUACGGAAGGUCCGGGCGUUAUCCGGAUUUAUUGGGUUUAAAGGGAGCGUAGGCCGGAGAUUAAGCGUGUUGUGAAAUGUAGAUGCUCAACAUCUGAACUGCAGCGCGAACUGGUUUCCUUGAGUACGCACAAAGUGGGCGGAAUUCGUGGUGUAGCGGUGAAAUGCUUAGAUAUCACGAAGAACUCCGAUUGCGAAGGCAGCUCACUGGAGCGCAACUGACGCUGAAGCUCGAAAGUGCGGGUAUCGAACAGGAUUAGAUACCCUGGUAGUCCGCACGGUAAACGAUGGAUGCCCGCUGUUGGUCUGAAUAGGUCAGCGGCCAAG
rnacentral:rRNA from 1 species